rnacentral:lncRNA from 1 species
GAAAAGUCAAUAUUUGGUCACCUUGUAGACCAGGGGUGCCCAAACUCGGUCCUGGAGGGCCGGUGUCCUGCAGAGUUUAGCUCCAACCCUAAUCAAACACACCUGAACCAGCUAAUCAAGCUCUUAUAGGCAUACUAGAAACUUCCUGGCAGGUGUGUUGAGGCAAGUUGGAGCAAAACUCUACAGGACACCGGCCCUCCAGGACCGAGUUUGGACACCGCUGUUGUAGACUACAAUAAACCUUUUGUACUCUCUUUAUAGGACCUUAUAUGUAGUCAACAAUGCUCCUGACUUCGCAGUCCUCUCGAUUCACGCCUGGCUUCACAUAAAAUUGCGGAAGACGGAACAAACAAACAAGGCCUGGAGUCCCACUGUGAAUGGCACUGAUUUCAUAUGCUGUAGAUUUGUUGUAGUUGUUUAAGCCCCGAACUCUAGCUGCAGAUGGCUGUAAGGAAUCUCAACAUCUGUCAGCAAUGCACACUCCCCUUAUGUUCCCAUGAGAUGUGAAUCAAUAUAAAGCACUCUGUGAAAUACAUCUCUGUUCAUUUGUUUAGGUAAUAAUUUAUUUUAUGUCUUAGAUUGAUCCAUGUGCAUUAAUUAAUUUGUCUGUAAGUUGUUUAGUUAAAUUAGUGCUAUACAUACAGAAUAUAGAUAUUUUUUCCCAAUAUAAUCACAUUUCAGAUCAGUAUGGAAUCUAAUUAUAAUCUAAUGCUGUAAUGUAAACAUACAUUAAUAAAGAAUUAAAGGUACACUCCCCCCAAAAAUUAAAAUUGUCAUCAUUUACAACCUC